rnacentral:rRNA from 1 species
CCUACGGGGGGCAGCAGUGGGGAAUAUUGGACAAUGGGGGGAACCCUGAUCCAGCCAUGCCGCGUGUGUGAAGAAGGCCCUCGGGUUGUAAAGCACUUUCAGUGAGGAAGAACGCCUGGUGGUUAAUACCCAUCAGGAAAGACAUCACUCACAGAAGAAGCACCGGCUAACUCCGUGCCAGCAGCCGCGGUAAUACGGAGGGUGCGAGCGUUAAUCGGAAUUACUGGGCGUAAAGCGCGCGUAGGUGGCUUGAUAAGCCGGUUGUGAAAGCCCCGGGCUCAACCUGGGUACGGCAUCCGGAACUGUCAAGCUAGAGUGCAGGAGAGGAAGGUAGAAUUCCCGGUGUAGCGGUGAAAUGCGUAGAGAUCGGGAGGAAUACCAGUGGCGAAGGCGGCCUUCUGGACUGACACUGACACUGAGGUGCGAAAGCGUGGGUAGCAAACAGGAUUAGAUACCCGUGUAGUC